rnacentral:rRNA from 1 species
UACAGAGGCCUCGAGCGUUAAUCGGAAUCACUGGGCUUAACGGGUGCGUAGGCGGCGCUGCAAGUGCCUUGUGAAAUCCCAUCGCUUAACGAUGGAACUGCUCGGUAGACUGCAGUGCUUGAGGUUGGUAGGGGCUGCCGGAACUCUAGGUGGAGCGGUGAAAUGCGUAGAUAUCAGGAGGAACACCGGUGGCGAAGGCGGAUCUCUGGGCCUUACCUGACGCUGAGGCGCGAAAGCUAGGGGAGCAAACAGG